rnacentral:rRNA from 1 species
AACGAGACCUUAACCUGCUAAAUAGUCAGGCCGGCUUUUGCUGGUCGCAGACUUCUUAGAGGGACUGUCAGCGUCUAGCUGACGGAAGUUUGAGGCAAUAACAGGUCUGUGAUGCCCUUAGAUGUUCUGGGCGGCACGCGCGCUACACUGACAGAGCCAGCGAGUUCUCACCUUGGCCGGAAGGUCUGGGUAAUCUUGUGAAACU